rnacentral:rRNA from 1 species
ACUUAAAUUGAAGAGUUUGAUCAUGGCUCAGAUUGAACGCUGGCGGCAGGCCUAACACAUGCAAGUCGAGCGGUAGCACAGAGAGCUUGCUCUCGGGUGACGAGCGGCGGACGGGUGAGUAAUGUCUGGGAAACUGCCUGAUGGAGGGGGAUAACUACUGGAAACGGUAGCUAAUACCGCAUAACGUCGCAAGACCAAAGUGGGGGACCUUCGGGCCUCAUGCCAUCAGAUGUGCCCAGAUGGGAUUAGCUGGUAGGUGGGGUAACGGCUCACCUAGGCGACGAUCCCUAGCUGGUCUGAGAGGAUGACCAGCCACACUGGAACUGAGACACGGUCCAGACUCCUACGGGAGGCAGCAGUGGGGAAUAUUGCACAAUGGGCGCAAGCCUGAUGCAGCCAUGCCGCGUGUGUGAAGAAGGCCUUCGGGUUGUAAAGCACUUUCAGCGGGGAGGAAGGCGGUGAGGUUAAUAACCUCACCGAUUGACGUUACCCGCAGAAGAAGCACCGGCUAACUCCGUGCCAGCAGCCGCGGUAAUACGGAGGGUGCAAGCGUUAAUCGGAAUUACUGGGCGUAAAGCGCACGCAGGCGGUCUGUCAAGUCGGAUGUGAAAUCCCCGGGCUCAACCUGGGAACUGCAUUCGAAACUGGCAGGCUAGAGUCUUGUAGAGGGGGGUAGAAUUCCAGGUGUAGCGGUGAAAUGCGUAGAGAUCUGGAGGAAUACCGGUGGCGAAGGCGGCCCCCUGGACAAAGACUGACGCUCAGGUGCGAAAGCGUGGGGAGCAAACAGGAUUAGAUACCCUGGUAGUCCACGCUGUAAACGAUGUCGAUUUGGAGGUUGUGCCCUUGAGGCGUGGCUUCCGGAGCUAACGCGUUAAAUCGACCGCCUGGGGAGUACGGCCGCAAGGUUAAAACUCAAAUGAAUUGACGGGGGCCCGCACAAGCGGUGGAGCAUGUGGUUUAAUUCGAUGCAACGCGAAGAACCUUACCUGGUCUUGACAUCCACAGAACUUUCCAGAGAUGGAUUGGUGCCUUCGGGAACUGUGAGACAGGUGCUGCAUGGCUGUCGUCAGCUCGUGUUGUGAAAUGUUGGGUUAAGUCCCGCAACGAGCGCAACCCUUAUCCUUUGUUGCCAGCGGUUCGGCCGGGAACUCAAAGGAGACUGCCAGUGAUAAACUGGAGGAAGGUGGGGAUGACGUCAAGUCAUCAUGGCCCUUACGACCAGGGCUACACACGUGCUACAAUGGCAUAUACAAAGAGAAGCGACCUCGCGAGAGCAAGCGGACCUCAUAAAGUAUGUCGUAGUCCGGAUUGGAGUCUGCAACUCGACUCCAUGAAGUCGGAAUCGCUAGUAAUCGUAGAUCAGAAUGCUACGGUGAAUACGUUCCCGGGCCUUGUACACACCGCCCGUCACACCAUGGGAGUGGGUUGCAAAAGAAGUAGGUAGCUUAACCUUCGGGAGGGCGCUUACCACUUUGUGAUUCAUGACUGGGGUGAAGUCGUAACAAGGUAACCGUAGGGGAACCUGCGGUUGGAUCACCUCCUUACCUUAAAGAA